rnacentral:lncRNA from 1 species
CAGAAAGGGAGGGUUUCUUUUGUGUUUUUCAGAGCAAAGUGAUUCUGAUCAGAGAGAACCAAGGUUUCAGCUCCACGUACCUGACAUUUCCAUCUGAAUCCACUUUUUUUUCUCUUUUUAAAGGAGGGGGGAGGUCUAGUUUUUCAGGAAAAGAGCCUCUCCAUGCAAUCCUGAAACCGAUCUUCAGAUUUCCUUUUCCUUAAUCAAUAGAAAGCAACUUGAUUGCAACUCAACACUCCCCCGACUCUAGUGCAGGACUAACUGAAUUUUUGGUUUUAAGAGUAUGGGAUUCGGACGUGAUUCCAGGGAUCAGAAAUAAUUGACAGUCACGCAAGGAGAACUGACGUGAAUUCUUAUACCUAAUUUUCCGGGCUCACCAAGAUUUGAGUUAAUACUUUUCACUCAAUUCCUCCAGUCUCGACUGAACAGGAUGAAUUAUUCAUCAUUACUUAGAAUUUGGGUCUCUUUCAUCUUCGCUCUUGUUCGGCACCAAGCUCAGCCCAGGGAGCUCAUGUAUCCAUUUUGGCAGAAUGACACCAGAACCCCUAAAGUAGACGACGGAAGCUCAUCUGAGAUUAAGUUGGCCAUCCCUGUCUUCUUCUUUGGUGUUCCUUACCGCACUGUCUAUGUAAGUGCAGAAGCGGCUCUCCCUGUUGUCUAUCAUUAAGGAAAACACUUAAAAAAACAAAACAAAA